AUUGAACGCUGGCGGCAUGCUUUACACAUGCAAGUCGAACGGCAGCGCGGGCUUCGGCCUGGCGGCGAGUGGCGAACGGGUGAGUAAUACAUUGGAACGUGCCCAGUAGUGGGGGAUAGCUCGGCGAAAGCCGGAUUAAUACCGCAUACGGCCUGAGGGUGAAAGCGGGGGAUCUUCGGACCUCGCGCUAUUGGAGCGGCCGAUGGCAGAUUAGCUAGUUGGUGGGGUAAAGGCCUACCAAGGCGACGAUCUGUAGCUGGUCUGAGAGGACGACCAGCCACACUGGGACUGAGACACGGCCCAGACUCCUACGGGAGGCAGCAGUGGGGAAUUUUGGACAAUGGGCGAAAGCCUGAUCCAGCAAUGCCGCGUGUGUGAUGAAGGCCUUCGGGUUGUAAAGCACUUUUGGCGGGAACGAAAAGGACUGUGCCAAUACCACGGUUCGAUGACGGUACCCGCAGAAUAAGCACCGGCUAACUACGUG
rnacentral:rRNA from 1 species